GGGGAAGAUGGUUAGCGGAACGGAUACACUGACCCCGAUGACAAUGGUGGCCAAUCUGGUGGAUGGAUAUCUUGCAGAGGUAGCUCCCGAUGUGAACCUGAAGUUGCCAAAAUUUCAGUCCCUUGCUGCUGCGAUCCCUGAUUAUGCCAGGCCAUUAGAUGAUGGAAUUUAUCAUGCCAUUGAUGUGUACCUAAAAGUAAGAUCUAUUUCCCCCUACCUUUUACAUCAAGUUCAUGUUCUUCACCUUGCAUAUAACUCAAUUCCUAGAACUGAGAGUAAUCAUCUACUUUAGCCUGUAGAUACUGACAUCUUGUAAUCUGGUUAAAUUUUAAACCUUUGUGGAGUAAUCAUUCAUUAUAUUUGUAAAAGAAGAAUGAAUAAUAACAAUAUAGAUCUUACUAAAUUAGCCAUUCAUCUAAUCUCAGGUCAUCGGGUUAGAUAUACCAUGGUGUUUGGUUGUGAAUCUUUAAUGGCUGAUGGUAGUUUACAAC
rnacentral:lncRNA from 1 species